rnacentral:tRNA from 1 species
ACUUUGGUAGCUCAGUGGUGAGAGCGCCGGCCCGCAAGGCCGGAGGUCGCGGGUUCGAUUCCCGCCUGAAGAU